rnacentral:rRNA from 1 species
UACGAAGGGAGCCAGCGUUGUUCGGAAUCACUGGGCGUAAAGCGCACGUAGGCGGAUGUGUCAGUCAGGGGUGAAAUCCCGGAGCUCAACUUCGGAACUGCCUUUGAUACAGCACGUCUUGAGUCCGAUAGAGGUGGGUGGAAUUCCUAGUGUAGAGGUGAAAUUCGUAGAUAUUAGGAAGAACACCGGUGGCGAAGGCGGCCCACUGGAUCGGUACUGACGCUGAGGUGCGAAAGCGUGGGGAGCAAACAGG